UUUCCGUAGGUGAACCUGCGGAAGGAUCAUUAAAAAAUAGGACUUCCAAUGGGAGUUCAUUAAUAAUCCUACCCUUUGUGAAUUUGUUUGUUUGAAAUAAUUUUUUUCCAAAAAAAUUAUUGAAUGUCUUUCCCUAUUUUUGGUUGAAGCGUAAAAGUGGAGACCAAGCAGGGAAUGGCAGACAUUAAUUUUUUUGAAAAAAGACCUUUUUUUAAAAUUAAACUUUUUGUAUUCAUUUGUCUAAAAUUAUUUUUAUAAUAUAAAAACAACUUUUGACAAUGGAUCUCUUGGUUCUCGCAACGAUGAAGAACGCAGCAAAAUGCGAUAAGUAAUGUGAAUUGCAGAAUACGUGAAUCAUCGAAUCUUCGAACGCAUAUUGCACUUUUUAGUUUACUAAAAAAGUAUGUCUGUUUGAGUAUCAGUAAAAUAUUCUCAUAAAAAACUUUUUUUGUUUUUUAUGGUUAUGAGUGUUUUACAACGAUAAACAAGUUGUUUCACUUUAAAUUCUUUGAAAUUUAAAAAAUCGUUAAAACUAAUUUUAAAAUGAUUUUUAAAAUUGGAUAAAAUUUUCCCGUAAAAAAGGAAUAACCUAAACAAUUUAAAAAAUUUAAAAUUGGUUGAUUUUUUUAAAUCCCAAAAGGAAAAAAGUAAAAAUUAACUUGAUCUCAAAUCAGAUAAGAGUACCCGCUGAACUUAAGCAUAUCAAUAAGCGGAGGAAAAGAAACUAACUAGGAUUCCCUCAGUAACGGCGAGUGAAGCGGGAAGAGCUCAAAUUUGAAAUCUUCAAGGUUCUACCUUGACGAAUUGUAGUUUAAAGAAGUGUUAUCUGUUGGAAUAGUUUGGUAUAAGUUCUUUGGAAUAGGACAUCAUGGAGGGUGAGAAUCCCGUAACGACCAUUUAUUCCAGCUCUGUGAUACACUUUCAAAGAGUCGGAUUGUUUGGGAAUGCAGCCCAAAAUGGGUGGUAAAUUUCAUCUAAAGCUAAAUAUUGGCGAGAGACCGAUAGCGAACAAGUACCGUGAGGGAAAGAUGAAAAGAACUUUGAAAAGAGAGUUAAACAGUACGUGAAAUUGUCAAAAGGGAAGCGUUUGACACCAGUGUUGUUUUCUCGAAAAUCAAUUAAAAAUGCUUGAUUUGUGUAAGGCGACCUUAUCAGCGUUUUCUUCACGAAACUAUUGUAAUGCACUUUUCGGUUAACAAGUCAACAUCAAUUUCUUUUGUUGUAAAAGAGUCAUUGGAAGGUGGCUUUCUUUUCGGAGAAAGUGUUUAUAGCCUAUGCUUCUGCAAUCGGAGAGAUUGAGGUCUGCAGCGUAGAUCCUUCGGGGUUAGAUGCAUUGUGCUAAGUUAUAGCCUUUCAUAGACAACUUGUUGACUAUGAUCAGUCAUGUAGCUUACUCGCUGAUGUAUUU
rnacentral:misc_RNA from 1 species